AAAGGUUUGGUCCUGGCCUUUUUAUUAUUUCGUAGCAAACUUACACAUGCAAGACUCCCCGCACCAGUGAGAAUGCCCUUAACAUCAAUAUAGAUCAAGAGGAGCAGGCAUUAAGCACACUAAUCAGUAGCUCAAGAUACCUUGCUUAACCACGCCCCCAAGGGAUACAGCAGUGAUAAAAAUUUAGCGAUGAACGAAAGUUUGACUAAGUUAUGCUACUCUAGGGCUGGUAAAUUUCGUGCCAGCCACCGCGGUCAUACGAUUAGCCCGAAUUAAUAAAUACCCGGCGUAAAGCGUGAUUAGAAAAUNAAUCAAAUAGAAUCAAAUAACAACUAAGCUGUAAAAAGUAAUAGUUGAAAACAAAAAUAACCAACGAAAGUGAUUUUAUAACCUUCGAAUUCACGAUAGCUAAGGCCCAAACUGGGAUUAGAUACCCCACUAUGCUUAGCCCUAAACUUAAAUAAUUUCAUAACAAAAUUAUUCGCCAGAGAACUACGAGCCAGAGCUUAAAACUCAAAGGACUUGGCGGUGCUUUAUACCCACCUAGAGGAGCCUGUUCUAUAAUCGAUAAACCCCGAUAAACCUUACCACUCUUUGCCAACUCAGCCUAUAUACCGCCAUCUUCAGCGAACCCUAAAAAGGAACAAAAGUAAGCUCAACUAUUCCCAUAAAAACGUUAGGUCAAGGUGUAGCCUAUAGAGUGGAAAGUAAUGGGCUACAUUUUCUAUCUUAGAACACACGGAAGCCCUUAUGAAAUUCUAAGGGCCAAAGGAGGAUUUAGUAGUAAAUUAAGAAUAGAGUGCUUAAUUGAACUAGGCAAUGAAGCACGCAAUUAGAU
rnacentral:ncRNA from 1 species